rnacentral:lncRNA from 1 species
UUAUUGAUAGCAUGUCAUGUGCAAAAUCUUGAGAGUAUUAGGAGCGACAAUGGGUUGUUCUAAUCUUGUAGGAUGGUUUUUGGGUUUGUAAGCUUAAAUUCUUUUGAUCUUGGGAAUGAGAGAGAUUGAGCGAAAGAGAUGAACCAAAAAGAGUGUUUAAGGUAAGAAACCCCUAGGGACAAAGAAAGUUAGAAAGGAAAAGCUCUAAGGUAUCAAUAGAACCCCCUCCCAAAUAAAAAAAAGGAGAAUCAAAGAAACAAUUGUUGAGUGGUGGAAAAGAAAAAAAAAAAAGAGCAAAGUCUAAAGGUUUAAAUUCAAAAAGAAAAAAUAAGUCCCUAAUUAGUUAAAUCAAAGGAAAGAAAGAAAAUAAGGGUAGAACUUAAAGCUACUUAAGAAAAGGGAAGAAUGAUGAGAACAAGCAUUGUAUGCAUGAAUUGCUUCUUUUCUUAGAUAAAUUUUGCAUAAUGAUCUUGCUCAUAUUCUUGAGUGUGAGCCACUAUAAAUGAUGCAAUUGAAACCCACUUUUCUUCACACUAGACCACUCUUUCUCACCAAACCAAAUGAUCGAGAUCAAAUAUCCAUUUGCAAGAAUUCAACUUGUGUGUGUGUGUGUGAAUGA